rnacentral:rRNA from 1 species
AACGGCCGCGGUACCCUAACCGUGCGAAGGUAGCAUAAUCACUUGUUCUUUAAAUGAGGACUAGUAUCAACGGCAUCACGAGGAUCUUACUGUCUCCCCCCUCUAAUCAGUGAAACUGACUCCCCGUGAAGAAGCGGGGAUAAAUUUAUAAGACGAGAAGACCCCAUGGAGCUUUAAGCCUAACAGCACCUGUUAAUUUUACACCAUAAUAUUCUUCUAGUAAUGCUUGUUCGGCUUUGGGUUGGGGUGACCAUGGAGCAAAAAAUAACCUCCACGAAGAAAGGAAUAAAACCCUUAUCAAAGAACUACAUCUCUAUGAAUUAGAAUACUAACUUUUAAUGAUCCGAUAAUCGAUCAACGAACCAAGUUACCCUGGGGAUAACAGCGCAAUCCAUCUCAAGAGCUCCUAUCGACAGGUGGGUUUACGACCUCGAUGUUGGAUCAGGGUUCCCCAGUGGUGCAGCAGCUACUAAAGGUUCGUUUGUUCAACGAUUAAAACCCU